UACGGGGGGGGUAAGCGUUGUUCGGAAUUACUGGGCGUAAAGAGCGUGUAGGCGGCCAGACAGGUCCGUUGUGAAAACUAGAGGCUUAACCUCUAGACGUCGAUGGAAACCGUCUGGCUAGAGUCCGGAAGAGGAGAAUGGAAUUCCUGGUGUAGCGGUGAAAUGCGCAGAUAUCAGGAAGAACACCCGUGGCUAAGGCGGUUCUCUAGUACGGUACUGACGCUGAGACGCGAAAGCGUGGGGAGCGAACAGG
rnacentral:rRNA from 1 species